CCUACGGGAGGCUGCAGUGGGGAAUAUUGGACAAUGGGGGGAACCCUGAUCCAGCCAUGCCGCGUGUGUGAAGAAGGCCCUCGGGUUGUAAAGCACUUUCAGUGAGGAAGAACGCCUGGUGGUUAAUACCCAUCAGGAAAGACAUCACUCACAGAAGAAGCACCGGCUAACUCCGUGCCAGCAGCCGCGGUAAUACGGAGGGUGCGAGCGUUAACCGGAAUUACUGGGCGUAAAGCGCGCGUAGGUGGCUUGAUAAGCCGGUUGUGAAAGCCCCGGGCUCAACCUGGGAACGGCAUCCGGAACUGUCAAGCUAGAGUGCAGGAGAGGAAGGUAGAAUUCCCGGUGUAGCGGUGAAAUGCGUAGAGAUCGGGAGGAAUACCAGUGGCGAAGGCGGCCUUCUGGACUGACACUGACACUGAGGUGCGAAAGCGUGGGUAGCAAACAGGAUUAGAUACCCUAGUAGUC
rnacentral:rRNA from 1 species